rnacentral:rRNA from 1 species
AGUGAACGCUGGCGGUAGGCCUAACACAUGCAAGUCGAACGGCAGCACAGUAAGAGCUUGCUCCUACGGGUGGCGAGUGGCGGACGGGUGAGGAAUACAUCGUAAUCUACUUUUUCGUGGGGGAUCACGUAGGGAAACUUACGCUAAUACCGCAUACGACCUACGGGUGAAAGCAGGGGAUCUUCGGACCUUGCGCGAUUGAAUGAGCCGAUGUCGGAUUAGCUAGUUGGCGGGGUAAAGGCCCACCAAGGCGACGAUCCGUAGCUGGUCUGAGAGGAUGAUAAGCCACAUUGGAACUGAGACACGGUCCAGAGUCCUAAGGGAGGCAGCAGUGGGGAAUAUUGGACAAUGGGCGCAAGCAUGAUACAGCCAUACCGCGUGGGUGAAGAAGGCCUUCGGGUUGUAAAGCCCUUUUGUUGGGAAAGAAAAGCAGCAGGUUAAUACCCCGCGGUUCUGACGGUACCCAAAGAAUAAGCACCGGCUAACUUCGUG